GGGGCUAUAGCUCAGCUGGGAGAGCGCUUGAAUGGCAUUCAAGAGGUCGUCGGUUCGAUCCCGUCUAGCUCCACUA
rnacentral:tRNA from 1 species